AUUGAACGCUGGCGGCAUGCCUUACACAUGCAAGUCGAACGGCAGCGGACCUUCGGGUGCCGGCGAGUGGCGAACGGGUGAGUAAUAUAUCGGAACGUACCUUUCAGUGGGGGAUAACGUAGCGAAAGUUACGCUAAUACCGCAUAUUCUGUGAGCAGGAAAGCAGGGGAUCGCAAGACCUUGCGCUGAUUGAGCAGCCGAUAUCAGAUUAGCUAGUUGGUGAGGUAAAGGCUCACCAAGGCGACGAUCUGUAGCGGGUCUGAGAGGAUGAUCCGCCACACUGGAACUGAGACACGGUCCAGACUCCUACGGGAGGCAGCAGUGGGGAAUUUUGGACAAUGGGCGCAAGCCUGAUCCAGCCAUGCCGCGUGAGUGAAGAAGGCCUGG
rnacentral:rRNA from 1 species